UUGACUCCCCAUUUCCAUAGCUUUGGCUUGUAGCAGGCUUGUGGUUGCCACGAUCAUGAAGACUUGCUGACGAGGGAAGGGAGCAGGAAGAGGAGUGGAUUUGAGCUAUACGAAGAUUCUGAGCAUCUGCAGCAGUGAAAUGAAGAUUCACAAUUCCAGCCAAGCAAGAAUCUCCUGGGAGCAGCAAGAGCCUCUGAAGAAGCAAUAUUUGGAUGGGAAACUUAUGUCCUCCAAGCUGGCGAGUUGCAACACUGACACAGAUUUUUCUUGUCGCUGCAAAACUCUUCCUGUAGAAGAUAUGCAAAUACUUCAGCAGAACAUUUCAAAACCCUGGCUACAUGCAGAUCUGAAGGGCCUUUAAGCUCUUAAAGCCAUAUUCUGAGAAGCGUGAAGAUGUUGUACAGUCCCUUCCCUGGAUCCUGGCUGUUUCUAGCCUCAGUCCCAUCCUGGGCAGCCUUUGGGGAAGGAGAGAUCUGGGCUGAGUGUGCAGGAGGAAUGCAAGUCUUUAGCUUGAAAACGCUGAAUGUGAGUCAUAAUUCUCCAGAAACUGAAUUAAAAAAAGAAAAAAGAAAAAGAAAAAGAUGCACCAGCUGGGAUACAUGGAGGUUUUGAAAAUAUCUGAUUGGCUCUGAUUAAAGUACUUAACUGCAGCGGGUCUGCUAGAAAAACCUGAAUGAAGGCAAUGAGGUCCUAAUUCGGCUAAACACGCCGGGCUCUGUGUCACUGGGGAUUUAGCACUACAGCGGGACAAAUCCAAGGCGGCAGAGAGCAGUCAAACCCACGGGCGGUUCCUCUGGGAACGGCCAAUGCUGCGUUUUCCCCUCUGCGUUCAGCACCACGGACAGCUCCGGGCUGCUCACCGCAGCGCUACCGCUCCAUCCCUGGGGACAACUUGGGUUGUCACCGUCCCCAAGGCGAGGGAAGGGAAUAAAAGGAGAGAGAUCCAUGCUCUACUCUUCUCUGUGCUGGCCCCAGAAGGGGACAUGUCGUCCAGGUCCAACCACAGUCUCUGUUUGUUGCGCUGUUUCUUUACCCCAGCGAUGCUAAAUGCUCGGAAGGAGCUUGGAGUUCUGAUCCGAUCCCCAGGCUGACCUGUGGUGUAUGGUUUAAUGAGGCUGGUUUAUGUAUGCCAUACCCUAAAUCUAAAGGUCAGGGGGUUGGGGGCCAUAAAUAUUCACUCCGUGCCGACUGGGUGUUUUAAACAAGCUUUUAAAUAUUUAUGACAGUGCUUGAAUGGCUGAAGGAGAAUGUUGUAAUAGUGUUAA
rnacentral:lncRNA from 7 species